rnacentral:rRNA from 1 species
AGAGUUUGAUCAUGGCUCAGAACAAACGCUGGCGGCGUGGAUAAGACAUGCAAGUCGAACGGGACUUUUCUUUGUAGCAAUACAGAGGAAAGUCUAGUGGCGAACGGGUGCGUAACACGUGAGCAACCUGCCGUGAAGUGGGGGAUAGCUCGCCGAAAGGCGAAUUAAUACCGCAUGUGGCCAGGAAGGACAUCCUUCCGACGCCAAAGCCGGGGCAACCUGGCGCUUCUCGAGGGGCUCGCGGCCUAUCAGCUUGUUGGUGAGGUAACGGCUCACCAAGGCUAUGACGGGUAGCUGGUCUGAGAGGACGACCAGCCACACUGGAACUGAGACACGGUCCAGACACCUACGGGUGGCAGCAGUCGAGAAUUUUUCACAAUGGGGGAAACCCUGAUGGAGCGACGCCGCGUGGAGGAUGAAGGUUUUCGGAUUGUAAACUCCUGUCAUUAGAGAACAAGGCACACGGUUUAACUGGCCGUGUGUUGAUAGUAUCUGAAGAGGAAGAGACGGCUAACUCUGUGCCAGCAGCCGCGGUAAUACAGAGGUCUCAAGCGUUGUUCGGAUUCAUUGGGCGUAAAGGGUGCGUAGGUGGCGAUGUAAGUCGGAUGUGAAAUCUCCAAGCUUAACUUGGAAACUGCAUUCGAUACUGCGUUGCUAGAGGACUGUAGAGGGCAUUGGAAUUCACGGUGUAGCAGUGAAAUGCGUAGAUAUCGUGAGGAAGACCAGUGGCGAAGGCGAAUGCCUGGGCAGUUCCUGACACUGAGGCACGAAAGGCCAGGGGAGCAAACGGGAUUAGAUACCCCGGUAGUCCUGGCAGUAAACGGUGCACGUUUGGUGUGGGAGGAUUCGACCCCUUUCCGUGCCGGAGCUAACGCGUUAAACGUGCCGCCUGGGGAGUACGGUCGCAGAUUAAACUCAAGAAAUUGACGGGACCCGCACAGCGGUGGAGUAUGUGGCUAAUUCGAUGCAACGCGAGACUUACUGGCUUGACAUGCAUCUC